CUUUACUGUAGCCUGGUAUUGGGUUCGGGCUUUGACUGCGCAGCCUAGGUGGGAGGCUAUGAAGAUUUCCUUCCGGGGAAGUUGGAGCCAUCAGUGAGAGACCACUCUGGAGAGGCUAGAAUCCUAAUGGUGAUCCUUGAAUCAGGACACUUGACAGUUUCAGGUGGGCAGUUUUUCUGGGGCGGAAGCCUCAUAAAGGGUAACUGAGGCGCGCAAAGGUCCCCUCAGUCUGGACGGAAAUCAGACAACGAGUGUAAAGGCAAAAGGGGGCUUGACUGCAAGACCUACAAGUCGAGCAGGAGCGAAAGCUGGCCUUAGUGAUCCGACGGUACCGUGUGGAAGGGCCGUCGCUCAACGAAUAAAAGUUA
rnacentral:rRNA from 1 species